rnacentral:sRNA from 1 species
UUUUUAAAUAAUGAGAUAUAACGUAUUUAGUAAAAUCUUAUUUUCUUACCACGAAUUUCCAAAAUCAUCAUAUAUAUGAAAGAAAGUGAACUCUCUCCCUCCUUAUGACACCUCAUCACUUAAGAAGAGGACACGUGUAUUUGGAAAAAAAAAAUCAUAAUUAGCACA